AUCGUGGCGGGAGACAGUGUCAGGUAGGCAGUUUGACUGGGGCGGUCGCCUCCUAAAAUGUAACGGAGGCGCCCAAAGGUUCCCUCAGAAUGGUUGGAAAUCAUUCGCAGAGUGUAAAGGUAGAAGGGAGCUUGACUGCGAGACUGACAAGUCGAGCAGGGACGAAAGUCGGGCUUAGUGAUCCGGUGGUUCCGUAUGGAAGGGCCAUCGCUCAACGGAUAAAAGCUACCCUGGGGAUAACAGGCUUAUCUCCCCCAAGAGUCCACAUCGACGGGGAGGUUUGGCACCUCGAUGUCGGCUCAUCGCAUCCUGGGGCUGUAGUCGGUCCCAAGGGUUGGGCUGUUCGCCCAUUAAAGCGGUACGCGAGCUGGGUUCAGAACGUCGUGAGACAGUUCGGUCCCUAUCCGUCGCGGGCGCAGGAAAUUUGAGAGGAGCUGUCCUUAGUACGAGAGGACCGGGAUGGACGUUCCGCUGGUGUACCAGUUGUGCCGC
rnacentral:rRNA from 1 species